rnacentral:rRNA from 1 species
GAGGGAGUAGUUUACUAUGACCAGACAAGUGCCAUCCUAGUGGCGGACGGGUGAGUAACGCGUGGGCAACCUGCCCUGUACAGGGGGAUAACACUUAGAAAUAGGUGCUAAUACCGCAUGAGCGCGCAAAGACGCAUGUCUUUGUGCGGGAAGCCCGCAAGGGCGGUACAGGAUGGGCCCGCGUCUGAUUAGCCAGUUGGCAGGGUAACGGCCUACCAAAGCGACGAUCAGUAGCCGGCCUGAGAGGGUGGACGGCCACAUUGGGACUGAGACACGGCCCAAACUCCUACGGGAGGCAGCAGUGGGGGAUAUUGCACAAUGGGGGAAACCCUGAUGCAGCGACGCCGCGUGAGUGAAGGAGCGUUUCGGCGCGUAAAGCUCUAUCAGCAGGGAAGAAAAAAGACGGUACCUGACCAAGAAGCCCCGGCUAACUACGUGCCAGCAGCCGCGGUAAUACGUAGGGGGCAAGCGUUAUCCGGAUUUACUGGGUGUAAAGGGAGCGUAGACGGCAAGACAAGCCUGGAGUGAAAGGCGGGGGCCCAACCCCCGGACUGCUCUGGGAACUGUCUGGCUGGAGUGCAGGAGGGGUAAGUGGAAUUCCUAGUGUAGCGGUGAAAUGCGUAGAUAUUAGGAGGAACACCAGUGGCGAAGGCGGCUUACUGGACUGUAACUGACGUUGAGGCUCGAAAGCGUGGGGAGCAAACAGGAUUAGAUACCCUGGUAGUCCACGCCGUAAACGAUGACCACUA